rnacentral:lncRNA from 14 species
CCAGAGCCAUGUCUGCUGUAGGAAGAAAGAACAUGCAGUCUGUGACCAGGUACUAAGGACUUCGAGGUGCUCAGCCUCAGACACAGCUACCGAAUAUGGAAGCUGAGGGAUGCCAAGCCCGGUCUUCUACGCAUGGCGACUCAACCCAUGUGAGAGCUCUCUUGUGUGAGUACCCAGCAGCACGCUUUGCUGUCUGUGGUCUGUGGACAUUGACUGGCACCUAAGCAACAUCCCAGCUCCCUUCUCUCCCCCUAGACGCCACUGUCUUAG